rnacentral:rRNA from 1 species
UACGUAGGCAGCAAGCGUUGUUCGGAAUUACUGGGCGUAAAGAGUGUGUAGGCGGUGCUCUAAGUUCGGUGUGAAAUCCCCCGGCUCAACUGGGAGGGUGCGCCGAAAACUGGAGUGCUGGAGCGCGGGAGAGGAAAGCGGAAUUCCUGGUGUAGCGGUGAAAUGCGUAGAUAUCAGGAGGAACACCGGCGGUGUAGACGGCUUUCUGGACCGUAGCUGACGCUGAGACACGAAAGCGUGGGUAGCAAACAGG